CACACAAAGACAUCAUUUUACCUUACAGAUCUGCCCUAUUCUGGCAUGAGUGGCUUUUCCAGUGUGCUCUCCAUCAAUUGCAUUUUCACGGAAGAAGAAAUAGAUUUUGUCAUCUUCUGGAUUAUCACUUUCUGGUAUCAGAAUCAAUCUCUGCAUCAAGUAAGAAGUAUAUCCAAGUUAGAUUCAUGGUGUUAUUUGCUGAUGAAGAUAAGGCAACAAAUGAAAAUGUUUAAGUUUGCACUAGCUGUCCUGUGAAACCCAUUGCCUUAUUAAGAACAACAGUGUUUAAAUGGCCAUACUGACUUACACCAAGGUUUACUUAGAUCAAUAUACAGACUCCAGCAUCAACCUAAAGAAAUUAUCUGGGACAAAUUAAGAAUAUGAAAUGACUUGGGCAAACACAACAGAGGUCUCAUAGAGUCACUGUUUAGAAUGAAGCUCUUCAACAACACUACUGGCAUCGGAUUGGCACGCAGACCAACCAUGGCUGAGAUCUUAGCAGCUAUCACAAUGUAAGAAGGACUGUGGUGAUUCAUUGAUAUUGCAAUGGAAAUUCUCAACAGAAAGAGUUUUAAAGUUUGUCUACAUUUACAAAGUGGUGCUUUCGUCUUUCAGUCAAGCCAGACUGAUUCUGAGCAACCAUGAUUUUCUUAUACUGUUAGCUAUGAUAUGACACUGUUAGCUAUGUAUACAUAGAGAUGUAUAUGCAUCUCUAUAUGUAUAUGUAUAUAUAUAUAUGUAUAUAUAUGUAUAUAUAGAGAGAGACUAGUGGAACUAAUUUUGCUGACAUAGAUUAUCAAAUGGGCUAAUAAAUGAAAAGUUUAGCUAAGGUUUCUUGCAAUUAUAAUUGCCUUAAUAGUCUUUAUUAUUAUUAUUAUUAUUAUUGUUAUUGUUAUUGUUAUUAUUGUUAUUAUUGAUUCAUAACCCUUUGCAGAAUUGAAAGAGAAAUCUCCUUUGCACAGUUUGACUGUUCUGUUUCAGUGGAAAUCCGUGUGAAUUUUAUUCUGACAGAAAAAAAAAUUACGUAUUGUUACGGAUAAAAGGUAUUAAAAUAAUAUUAACAUAUAAUUCUUCCAUCAUUUCAAUGCACGAACUCUUCAGAAUAGCAAAUAAAAAGAUACACUACGCUUUUAUUCAUGUAAAUCCCUCCACAUCUUGGAGAUACUGUUUUGUACACGGCACCGGGAAUCUAGUCCUUGAGGCUUCUCUGUGCUUUGGCUGCGAGUGUCACAGCCACUAUGGUGUCAAGUGACUUCAAGGAGAGCAUAACUUUAAUUUACGGUAUUUAGCACCUCUAAGUUGUGUAAACGAGCCCCUGAGUACCAGCCAAGGCUUAUAUCUCCAGGCACUGCCACUACCCUGAUACCCCUUCUGCUACAGAGACAUAAUUCAGUAUGGAUAUUUCUUGUGAGGAACACUAGUUUACACAGGAAGGAGAAAGAAGAAAAUGUUGAUCUCUGAUGCAAUUAUCAGUUUCUGAAAUCUUUAUUCUAAAAAGACAACAA